rnacentral:rRNA from 1 species
GUCUGUGGCCAUACCACUCUGAACACGUCCAAUCUUGUCUGAUCUUGGAAGCUAAGCAGAGUUGGACCUGGUUAGUACUUGGAUGGAGAUAAAUACAUCUACAUUUA